GGGGUGUUUAUGACUUGCUUGUAACUGAUACAAUGGGGCUGAAAUAACACCCUGUGGCAUCCAUGGCUAGGUCUUACAAGGCAAUCCAGCAUCUGCUUUGUUAGUGGGAACAUUCCUCACCUUUGGAGGGAACAUUCCUCACCUCUGGAGCCCUGCGCUCCCACGUGAGAAGUUAGCCCAGCCCGAGGCUGCCGUGAAGCGGGGCAGCCGACGGCCAUGCGGUGAGGCCACAAGUAGCUUUUUCAGCCCUAGCUGAGGUCCCAGCCAGCAGCCAGCAUCGGCCACCGGAUGCGUGAAGAGGACGGUCACCUCCAAGUGAUCCCAGCCGUGGCCACCAGCUGUCUUUUUGCUGAGGUCCAGAUGUUGUGGAGGAGAGAUGAGCUAUACCCCCUGUGCCCUUCCAGUUCCUAACCUAGCCCGCAGGAUUAGGGUAGUAAUGAUGGUUAUAUUACUCCCACUGAGUUUAGGGUAGUUCCAGUAGUAACUGGAACAACAUAUAGGAUUCCUAGACAGUGAAUACAUAUGUGCCAACAUCCAUACUAAACACGGUACACACAUCUACACCCACCCUGGAGACUUCUCUACGCCUCCUAAAGGGAUGGGCUCCACAUCUACCUCAAAGAAUGCGCGACACUUGUCAAUCGCCUGCCUAAAGUCUCUUUGCUGAGAAACCCUGUCCCCUCCCUUAUCUGAUCCAUACACCUUUCUAGCCACCCAACCCCUUUGUGUCCCAAGUAAAGCAGAAGUUGUGGCUGAAGUCAUUAAUAGGCCUACAAUCUCUGCCCAGGGAGGCCCUUUGCUAGAAUAGCCACCAGACUGUCCCUGCGUGGUCCGGGGACAGAACCCCUGUGCGACCAGCUCCAUCACUUUUGGAAUUGUGGACUGCCUCACCUUCCACGGGAGCUGGGUAAUAGUGAACCCACAAACAGUGUUUCCCUAUGCGGCGGGCACUGAUUUCAUCCUCAGAAGAGCUCGGUGAGAUGAGAAAACUGAGGGCAGAGACAGAAAAUAGUUGGCCUAGACUUCCACAGCUAGCCGGUGAAGGGGCCUGGAGCUGAGGCUUCCGCUUCCAGACGUCUUUCUUUAAAGGAAACGGAGAGGAAACGGUAAACGAGGCUGGAAGGAAACAAACGGAGUCAAUUGUGAGGAAACCGACUGCAGAUCUUUCUGUCAAGGGGGAUGAUGGCUCCGUGUGGCAGGUGAGGCUACUGGAGAGUCUGGAGAUGAAGCACAGAUAGAAUGUAUCUUUUAUUAAGUAGAGAAAGCUGGGAAUUCUACUACGUGAUACAAAGGUUCCAGUUUGAGCGGACUCCACAGAAACCCUUCCCAUCUACGUGCGCUGCCUCCCCGACCACAGGUGCCACGUGGAGUGAUUCACGCUACCGCGCACAUGGUCCCCUCCGGGUCGCCCCAAGGGGCGGGGGCCGAGGGCACGGCGGGUCUCAAAGAGCUACGUUACAAGUAGACUCCUGCCGACUUUUUCAGGAGUCCCUUGUGAGACUUUAUUUUGAAAGGUCUGCGCAGGGGGCUGUGGGGCAGAGGGCUGCGUAAGCGGUGUCGUGUGGCCAAGUGGAACGUCCCAAUCUGUGGAAUCGUGGCGGGUGACCAGUCCGGUCAGGCAUUGUAGGAAGAGGACGACACGCUGCCACCGUGGCCUGUCCAAUUGGUGUGGACAAACCGUCCGGGGUUGGCUAAGAGUUCGUAAGUGUGAGCCCCGAAGUAAUCCCGCUGAGCCUGGAAAACAAGGAAUUGGACGGGUUGGGAUGACACGGGGACACGGAGCCUCGGGCCGUGUCAGUGUUUACCACCUGCUCCGAAAGCUUACCUGGAUAAGGUUGGCGGGCAGCGUCUCGUGUCUGUAGCCGUCGUAGAAGGAGAGGGCGGUGGUGAAGCAGGGCAUGGGGAUGCCCGCCCGGACACCGGUGCUCACCGUCCGCCGCCAGGAGUCCUGAGCCAGAAAGAGCCAAAGACUCGGGGUCAGCCCCCAGAGAGGAGAGCGGGCUGCAUUUGAAAUGACAACGCUCACGGGCAUCGAUGCCGGUGAGGGAAACACAAAGCCCGGUGAGGCAGAAUUCCCACACCGCCCAGCUCUGGGCUACCUACCUGGCAGUUUUCAACAGCAGACUUAAAAAAGUCAUCCAGUAGUAGAUUCUGAAGGUGUGGGUUCCGAUCGAAUGCGUCUUUUAUCUUUCCUAGGAACACGCUGAAACAAGCAAGAGGAAAGAAACCGAUGAAACUUCGCCUCCGCGCGCUCAAUGCCAGAAGGCAGGGAAGGAAGCCGGAAGCUGGUACAUCCGCCCGCAAGCUUCCCUCCGACCGGGCUGAGUCCAUCCUGCCAGCGGCACGACCGCGGGAAGGAGGAGGAAGGCUUUACUGGAGCCAGCAAGUCCCCUUCUCUGAGCAGGCCCGCCUGUCGCACCCGCAGCAGGGCCCGGGACUCACC